rnacentral:rRNA from 1 species
UCUUCCGUUGGGGGGGCCUGCGGAGGGAUCAUUACCGAGUUUACAACUCCCAAACCCCUGUGAACAUACCUUAAUGUUGCCUCGGCGGAUCAGCCCGCGCCCCGUAAAACGGGACGGCCCGCCAGAGGACCCAAACUCUAAUGUUUCUUAUUGUAACUUCUGAGUAAAACAAACAAAUAAAUCAAAACUUUCAACAACGGAUCUCUUGGUUCUGGCAUCGAUGAAGAACGCAGCAAAAUGCGAUAAGUAAUGUGAAUUGCAGAAUUCAGUGAAUCAUCGAAUCUUUGAACGCACAUUGCGCCCGCUGGUAUUCCGGCGGGCAUGCCUGUUCGAGCGUCAUUUCAACCCUCAAGCCCCCGGGUUUGGUGUUGGGGAUCGGCUCUGCCUUCUGGCGGUGCCGCCCCCGAAAUACAUCGGCGGUCUCGCUGCAGCCUCCAUUGCGUAGUAGCUAACACCUCGCAACUGGAACGCGGCGCGGCCAUGCCGUAAAACCCCAACUUCUGAAUGUUGACCUCGGAUCAGGUAGGAAUACCCGCUGAACUUAAGCAUAUCAUAGCCCCGGAGGGAAA